CCUACGGGAGGCAGCAGUGAGGAAUAUUGGUCAAUGGGCGCGAGCCUGAACCAGCCAAGUAGCGUGAAGGAUGAAUGCCCUACGGGUUGUAAACUUCUUUUAUAAAGGAAUAAAGUGAGGCACGUGUGCCUUUUUGUAUGUACUUUAUGAAUAAGGAUCGGCUAACUCCGCGCCAGCAGCCGCGGUAAUACGGAGGAUCCGAGCGUUAUCCGGAUUUAUUGGGUUUAAAGGGAGCGUAGAUGGGUUGUUAAGUCAGUUGUGAAAUUUUGCGGCUCAACCGUAAAAUUGCAAUUGAUACUGGCAGUCUUGAGUAGAGUAGAGGUAGGCGGAAUUCGUGGUGUAGCGGUGAAAUGCGUAGAUAUCACGAAGAACUCCGAUUGCGAAGGCAGCUUACUAAACUGACACUGACAUUGAGGCUCGAAAGUGUGGGUAUCAAACAGGAUUAGAUACCCGAGUAGUC
rnacentral:rRNA from 1 species